UGGGGAAUUUUGGACAAUGGGGGAAACCCUGAUCCAGCCAUCCCGCGUGUGCGAUGAAGGCCUUCGGGUUGUAAAGCACUUUUGGCAGGAAAGAAACGUCAUGGGUUAAUACCCCGUGAAACUGACGGUACCUGCAGAAUAAGCACCGGCUAACUACGUGCCAGCAGCCGCGGUAAUACGUAGGGUGCAAGCGUUAAUCGGAAUUACUGGGCGUAAAGCGUGCGCAGGCGGUUCGGAAAGAAAGAUGUGAAAUCCCAGAGCUCAACUUUGGAACUGCAUUUUCAACUACCGGGCUAGAGUGUGUCAGAGGGAGGUGGAAUUCCGCGUGUAGCAGUGAAAUGCGUAGAUAUGCGGAGGAACACCGAUGGUGAAGGCAGCCUCCUGGGAUAACACUGACGCUCAUGCACGAAAGCGUGGGGAGCAAACAGG
rnacentral:rRNA from 1 species